GCAUUCUAAAGCAGUACUGAGUGAUCUAAGCGUGGCUUGGUCAGAGAAAGAGGGAAUACCCAGUUAAUGUGAAGAAUCUCCAGUAUAUAAUUUGAAUAUUAAAGCAAUGUCAUCUGUUAAUAAAAAAAAAAACACAGAGCAUUAGCUUCCAUCAUUAGAAAUUUUGCAAUAAAAAGGAAAAUUGGGUUGAAACGGUAUCAGAAUUUUCUAAACUAGAUAGAAGGAUGUGUGCAAGAAAUUU
rnacentral:lncRNA from 1 species